rnacentral:rRNA from 1 species
GAACGCUGGCGGCGUGCUUAACACAUGCAAGUCGAACGGAGUGCCUAUGAUAGAGACUUCGGUCAAUGGAUUAGGUUACUUAGUGGCGAACGGGUGAGUAACGCGUGAGGAACCUGCCUUUCAGUGGGGGACAACAGUUGGAAACGACUGCUAAUACCGCAUGACGCUUCUUGGGGGCAUCCCCGGGGAGUCAAAGCUUUAAGUGCUGAAAGAUGGCCUCGCGUCUGAUUAGCUGGUUGGCGGGGUAACGGCCCACCAAGGCGACGAUCAGUAGCCGGUCUGAGAGGAUGAACGGCCACAUUGGGACUGAGACACGGCCCAAACUCCUACGGGAGGCAGCAGUGGGGAAUCUUCCGCAAUGGGCGCAAGCCUGACGGAGCAACGCCGCGUGAGUGAAGAAGGUUUUCGGAUCGUAAAGCUCUGUUGAGAGGGACGAGAGGCAAGGCUAGGAAAUGAGCUUUGUAGGACGGUACCUUUCGAGGAAGCCACGGCUAACUACGUG